rnacentral:rRNA from 1 species
GACGAACGCUGGCGGCGUGCUUAACACAUGCAAGUCGAGCGGUAAGGCCCUUUCGGGGGUACACGAGCGGCGAACGGGUGAGUAACACGUGGGUGACCUGCCCUCAGCUCUGGGAUAAGCCUGGGAAACCGGGUCUAAUACUGGAUAUGACUCCAUGGCGCAUGUUGUGGGGUGGAAAGCCUUGUGCGGCUGAGGAUGGGCCCGCGGCCUAUCAGCUUGUUGGUGGGGUGAUGGCCUACCAAGGCGACGACGGGUAGCCGGCCUGAGAGGGCGACCGGCCACACUGGGACUGAGACACGGCCCAGACUCCUACGGGAGGCAGCAGUGGGGAAUCUUGCGCAAUGGGCGAAAGCCUGACGCAGCGACGCCGCGUGAGGGAUGACGGCCUGG